UCCUUGAUAGCUCAGCUGGUAGAGCAAUCGGCUGUUAACCGAUCGGUCGUAGGUUCGAGUCCUACUCAAGGAGCCA
rnacentral:tRNA from 1 species